rnacentral:rRNA from 1 species
GUCUUUUUGAAUAAAUAAUUUUAAGUCUAAUCUGCUCAAUGAUUAAAAUUAAAUAGCUGCAGUAAAUUAACUGUACAAAGGUAGCAUAAUCAAUAGUUUUUUAAUUAAAAGCUGGAAUGAAAGAUUUGAUGAAAUAAUUAUUGUCUCAAUUUUUUUAGGUUUAAAAUUUUUUUUUAGUAAAAAUACUAAAAUUAAUUUAAAAGACGAGAAGACCCUAUAGAUUUUUAUAUUUUAUUAAAUAUUAAUAAUUUAAUUUUUUAUUAAUUUUAUUUUAAAAAUAUUUAAUUGGGGAAAUUUUUAAAUUAAUUAAAUUUUAAUUUAAUUAAAACAAUUAUUAUUGAUUAUUUGAUUAUAAAUAUAUAAUUAUAGAAUAAAUUACCUUAGGGAUAACAGCGUAAUUUUUUUGGGGAGAUCAUAUUUAUAAAAAAGUUUGC